AAUGGUUGUAUGAAUGUCAAUAGUGACCCAAAGGCUUUAAAGAAACAUCAACACCACCUAUAAUUACAAAGCAUUGAAGUGCAAGCAACUUCAUUCCUAAAUGUUUCAGCAAAUCCUGCUACGCAACACAGAAUAAAAAGAAAAGCAAUCCAUCAAGCUAAAUCCGUAAAC